GCCCGGGUAGCUCAGUUGGAUAGAGCAGCGCUUUCCUAAAGCGCAGGUCGUGCGUUCGAGCCGCACCCCGGGUG
rnacentral:tRNA from 1 species